UUUUAUUUGGAAUCUCUUCCGGCUGGAAAAUGAGCAACUGAAAAAUUGUGAGAAAUGUUGUGCCGUUCGAGAUUUCUGCAACAUCUGGAGACGUCUGGAAAAGGAUCAGGAUGUGCUAUCUAAAGACCAUCACAAAAUGAACACACGUGCCACAAUAUGCAGUUUACUUCGCCCAAAACGCAGGGUAAAGGAGACAGAACUGCCUGUUUGGAGAACAGAUGCAGAGAUUCAUCUAUGCAUUUAAGAAAGAAAAUCUGUCUGUAUGACUUGAACAAAAUUUAGUUUGAAAUAUUUGAUCAUGCAGGUAGGCAAAUGAAAUGUUAAUAAGAAAAUAGAUAAGAAAAUGAUAAUCAUAUUAACAGUAAUGAAUUCUGUAACUAUCUCUGUUCAUCUAGACCUUACUGAGGUAUUGUAAGUAAAACUAUACUAACGUUUUCAUGUUUCCUUUACGAUAAAACAGUUUCAUUGUAA